UAGCUGAUUGGGGGCUAGAUGAGAGUCUAGUCUGUAUUACAACAGUCAAUGCCGCGAACAUGGUGAACGCUGCAGCCCUGAACAAGUGGACCAGAUUGCAUAUGAAUAGUGAGCAAUACAUCCAAACUAUAUGAAUGCUUUAAUAAACAAGAAACUGAAACACAUAAUUAAAAAAAACUGUUACCUGGUUGAAUAUAUCACUGAAGUCUGAGAAGUGGUUGUUGUGGCAGACACUGUGGGUGUAGUGGCUGUGACUGUUGCUGGAACAGCUGUGGUUGCUGUGGGAGAACCUUUAGUUGUGGCAGCUUUUGUGUUGCUGGGAGUACCUGUAAUUGUUGAUACAGCAGCUUUUGAUGUGGUGGGACCAGAUGUGUUAGUCAUGUGAGCAGGUGAAGUUGUUGUUUUUGUAUAAACAAGACCUGUUGUGGAAACAGCUGGAUUUGUGGGGUGUGCUGCAGUUGUGGUGACAGCAGCUUUUUCUGUGGUGGGACCAGAUGUGUUAGUCAUGUGAGCAGGUGAAAUUGUUGUUUUUGUUAAAACAAGACCUGUUGUGGAAACAGCUGGAUUUGUGGGAUGUGCUGCAGUUGUUGUGACAGCAGCUUUUGCUGUGGUGGGACCAGAUGUGUUAGUCAUGUGAGCAGGUGAAGUUGUUGUUUUUGUUAAAACAAGACCUGUUGUGGAAACAGCUGGAUUUGUGGGGUGUGCUGCAGUUGUUGUGACAGCAGCUUUUGAUGGAGUAACAAAGGUAGACAUGUCUGAAGGUGAGGAUGAUGCAGCAGCAACUGUUUUUGUGGGAAUAACAACAUUUGUUGUGACAUCAGGCAAUGUUUUUGAUGCAACGUAUGUUGCUGUAGGAGUUGCUGAAAUUCUUCUGACUGUAGCUGUUGUUGUGGUGGGACCAGAAGUGGAGGUCAUGUCAGCAGGCGAGGUUGUUAUUAUUGUGAAAUCUGUUGUAACAAACGCUGAUGUUGUUGUAGCAGUUCUGGUCGUUGUGUGAGCAUAUAUGGUUGCUGUCGAAGAACCUGUUGUUGUGGUAGCUUUUGUGUUAGUGGGAGUUUCUGAAACUGCUGUGACAUCAAGUGAUGUAGUUGUUGGAACAGCUGGUGUUGUGGGGGUUUCUAAAACUGUUGUGACAGCAGCUCUUGAUGUUGUGGGACCAUAUAUGUUUUGUAUGUGAGCGGUUGAGUUUGUGGUGGCAGCAAAUGUGGUUGGUGUAUCAGAUUCUUUUGUUGUUGUUGGAGCUGUGGUGCUCGUUAUAGGAUGAGAUGUGGUUGCUGUUGGAGAGCCAGUUUUUGAGGUAGCUCCUGUGUUGAAGGGAGAAGUUGACAUUGAUGUGAGAUAAGGUGAUGUUGUUGUUGAAACCAAUGUUGUUAUGGGAGUGGUUUUAAUUGUUGUGACAGCAGCUGAUGUUAUUGUUGCGACAACUGGUGUUGUGGAGGUUUUUGAAUUUUUUGUGACAGCGGCUGUUGAUGCCGAGGAUCCAGAUGUGUUAUGAAUGUAAGAAGGUGAGCUUGUUGUGGCAGUAACAGUUGUUAUUCUUGCUGUUGUUGUUUUUGUUCCAGACUCUUUUGUUGUUGAUGUUGGAGCAGUUGUAGUUGUUGUGGAUACAGAUGUGAUUGCUGUGGAAGAACCUGUUUUUGUGAUAGCUCCUGUGUUGAUGGGGGUAGUUGACAUUGAUGUGAGAUCAGGUGAUGUUGUUUUUGGAACAGUUGGUGUUGUGGGGGUUGAUGAAAUUGUUGUGACAGCUGCUGUUGGUGUUGUGGGACCAGAUGUGGUAGAUAUGUUAGCAGGAGAGGUUGUUGUGGCAGCAACUGUUGUUGUUGCUCCAGACUCUGUUGUUGUGGGAGUAGCAGAAAUUGUUGUGACAUCAAGUGAUGUUGUUGUUGCAACAGAUGUUGUUGUGGGAUUUACUGAAAUUGUUGUGACAGCAGCUGAUGUUGUUAUGGGACCAGAUGUGGUUGUCAUAUCAGCAGGUGUGGUUGCUGUUUCUGUAAAAACUGUUGUUCCCAACGUUGUUGUUGUUGGUAGAGCUGUUGUGGUCGUUGAGGGAACAGAUGUGGUUUCUGCUGGUGAACCUGUUGUUGUGGUAGCCCCUGUGUUGAUGGG
ensembl:lncRNA